rnacentral:lncRNA from 1 species
GCCACAGAAAUGGGUGUUCCUCUCCUCCACUGCAGGACUCUUCCUGCUCCGUUGGUGACCAGCCUUCCCCACACCCCACAUCCUGAAGCUCCCGGACCGCCUGCAUGUGCAGCAGCAGGCAGCAGGGCUUGCAUGGCUGGUACCAGGAACAGCUACAGCUCUGAUUCAUAUGCAUGGAGACAUCAUAUUAUUUGGACACAUUCUGCCUGGCCACCAGUCCAAGUAACCACAGGGCUCAGGACCCUUAGAGCCCUUUCUUUCUCUCCCCCACAGCCAGCAGCAUCUUGGCUUCCUGUAUUGUCUGCCUGCACUAACAGGCCUCUCCUGCCAUCUCCCACACUCUACCUCAAGCACUGAGCCUCUGCCCCACAUGAGGCGCUGUCUAUCACCCUAUACUGACUUCAUGUUCCCAGCUCACCUCUUGCUGAGACUAUUUAUUGUCUGCCGCCCUCCUUGAGAGUUCCCUGUAUCCCCCGUGAGGGGAGCCACAGCAACAUACUUGUGUUGUGAGGUGGUGUGUCAUCUAGAGCGAUAGCUCUACCCUCCAUAUCCACAGAGACGUAUAGAGACUGGACCCAGAACCAACAGCCAUUGUCAUUCCUCGGUCUCCGUCUUCUUUCCUGCCUUCUUCAGUCAGCUGCUGUUGGCAGAGUCCGUAAUAUGUUUAAUGGACU